rnacentral:rRNA from 1 species
GACCUCCGAUCAAGCAAGAGG